rnacentral:rRNA from 1 species
UACGGAGGGUGCAAGCGUUAUCCGGAUUCACUGGGUUUAAAGGGUGCGUAGGCGGACAGGUAAGUCAGUGGUGAAAUCUCCGAGCUUAACUCGGAACUGCCGUUGAUACUAUUUGUCUUGAAUAUUGUGGAGGUAAGCGGAAUAUGUCAUGUAGCGGUGAAAUGCUUAGAUAUGACAUAGAACACCAAUUGCGAAGGCAGCUUACUACACAACAAUUGACGCUGAGGCACGAAAGCGUGGGGAUCAAAACAGG